UACGUAGGGGGCAAGCGUUGUCCGGAUUUAUUGGGCGUAAAGAGCGUGUAGGCGGCUGUGUAGGUCCGUUGUGAAAACUCGAGGCUCAACCUCGAGACGCCGAUGGAAACCCUCCAGCUAGAGUCCGGAAGAGGAGAGUGGAAUUCCUGGUGUAGCGGUGAAAUGCGCAGAUAUCAGGAAGAACACCCGUGGCUAAGGCGGCUCUCUAGUACGGUACUGACGCUGAGACGCGAAAGCGUGGGGAGCGAACAGG
rnacentral:rRNA from 1 species